GUUUGACCUCGGAUCAGGUAGGGAUACCCGCUGAACUUAAGCAUAUCAAUAAGCCGGAGGA
rnacentral:rRNA from 1 species